GGCCCCCGUCGUAGGGUAUACGCCCUGGGAGUCGGGGGUCUUUCAGUAUAGGGAACCACCGAGAUGCGGGCCCUCCGAAGUCCUAGAGAGGGCGCCUCGGCCGCCGGCACACGCCACACUUCCGGCCUUUGUGGGCCGCAGCGACGGCGGUCUGCGGCUGUCGGUUCUGUUUGUUGCUGUCACUGCUGUUUGUUCCUGCCAGCGGCUAGGGUCUGGCUGUUUUGCCCAGAAUGGAGUGCAGUGGCGUGAUGGUCUCGGCUGACAGCAGCCUCGACCUCCUGGGCUCAAGCCUUGGCCUCCCAAAGUGCUGGGAUUACAGAUGGAGUCUCACUGUGUUGCCCAAGCUGGUCUUAAACUCCUGGGCUCAAGCCCUCCUCCCACCUCAGCCUCCCGAGUAGCUGGGAUUACAGACGUGAACAACCACACUGGCUCUUCUCUGUCUACAUUCAGCACCACCAUAGAUUAUUUUUUGUUUUUUUGGGUUUUGUUUUGUUUUGUUUUGUUUGAGACAGAGUCUCCCUCUGUUGCCCAGCCCAGAGUACAGUGUACAGUGGCGCGAUAUUGGCUCACUGCAACGUCUGCCUCCUGGGCUUAACUGAUUCUCAUUCCUCAGCCUCCAGAGUGGCUGGGAAUGCAGGCGUGCACCACCACACCCGGCUGAUUUUUGUAUUUUUAGUAGAAAUGGGGUUUCACCAUGUUGGCCAGGCUGGUCUCAAACUCCUGACCUCAAGUGAUCCACCUGCCUCAACCUCCCAAAGUGCUAGGAUGACAGGCGUGAGCCACGCACCUGGCCCACCAUAGAUUGUUAAAAUCAGACUGUGACUCCUGGAACCAGAUACUGGAAGGAUCAUGUUGCAGCCCCACCUGCAGAGUCAAGUCCCUCCUCCCACCUCAGCACUGCUAGAAAAGAGCUUCAGGAUGGAGCCACACAUGCCACUCAAGCCCAAGGGUCAGUCAACAGCCCACAGCCCUAAACUCAUCUGUGUCCAAUGCCAGACCCAGCAACUGCUGAUUUACAUGAAUCAACUCCAUCAUGCAAGCCUCAUGACAUCCCAAUGAGACGCAGGUGCUUUUGCAGUCACGUGACUGGACGUGGGCUAGGACUCUGUUGUCCGUGGCUGGAGUCCAUAGCUGAGAACAAAGAAGGAAAAACUUCAGGAGGACACUCCCAGCCCACAGCACGGCACAUCAAAGAUCCCAGAUGCCACCUACGUGACAGGCAGAAACGCUCGCGAGCUUUGCUUGCUCAGCCAGUUUUUCUGCUCCUCAAGUCUGGACGAAAGCAGCAAGAAAGAGAGAAAGGACUUGGUAGAAGCCAAAGAGAAAGGACUUUGCCUUCUGCCUAUUGGUGGGGGCUUCCCUCUCCUCCUCCAUGACUGGUUCCCUCGCCCCCUCACCAUGAAGACAAGUGAGAAUGUCUUCAAAACCUGGGGACAGAGGCUGGGUGCGGUGUCUCUCACCUGUGAUCCCAGCACUUUGGGAGGCUGAGGUGGGCAGAUCACUUGAGGCCAGGAGUUCAAGACCAGCCUGGCCAACAUGGAGAAGCCUCAUAUCUACUGAAAAUACAAAAAAUUAGCUGGGCGUAGUGGCAGGCACCUGUAACCCCAGCUCCUGGGGAAGCUGAGGCAGGAGAAUCACUUGAACCGGGAAGCAGAGGUUGGAGUGAACUGAGAUUGCACCACUGCACUCCAGCCUGCACAACAGAGGGAGACUCCAUCUCAAAAAAAAAAAAAAAAAGAGCAGGGGGCAGGGCGGGCAGGAGUCCCAGUCACCGGGGAGACUCCAUAUCUACAAAAAACCUCAUCCUCGGCCAGGCACAGUGGCUCACACCUGUAAUCCCAGCACUUUGGGAGGCCGAGGCAGGCAGAUCACAAGGUCAGGAGAUCAAGACCAUCCUGGCCAACAUGGUGAAACCCCAUCUCUACUAAAAAUACAAAAAUUAGCUAGGUGUGGAAGCACAGGCCUGUAGUCCCAGCUACUCAGGAGGCUGAGGCAGGAGAAUCACUUGAACCCAGGAGGCGGAAAUUGCAGUGAGCCGAGAUCACGCCACUGCACUCCAGCCUGGCGACAGGGCAAGACUCAAAAACAAACAAACAAAAAAAAACCCCUCAACCUCUAGUUGAGCAUUAUUUUAAAUAGGAGACUCUCGUGCCUAGGCAGGUGGCGGGUGAUUCAACAAAGCCACUAAGAGGGGAAGGUGGCCAGGGAGGGGCAGGAGCACCACAGGAGGUCCACGUUCCAGCCAUUUGAGUGGCCAAGGGUGCCUGAGUUUGUCACAGAUCAAAUGGACCCAGGAGCCAGGUAGCUGGACUUGAGUUGUCCAACUGGUGCCCCCACCCAAGAAUCUCCACAAAAGGAGGUUGUGCAGUGCCCUGCUAGGGGCAGAAGGCAGAACGACUGGGACAGGGGACUGAGUAGUAAGCAGGCCCCCAAGGCCCCCUGAGGAUUUCAUCCCUGAACACCACAAGCCAACGUUUGUGUGGCUGACGCACAGUAGCGGUAGACUGUGUUUUCCAAAAGUGACCUUGGCAGCGUUUUUGGUCCCACAUGCAAUUCCAGAACCACAUCACUUCCCAUCAAAAGGUGGCAUCUGGCUGGGUACCAUGGCUCAUGCCUGUAAUCCCAGCCCUUUAGGAGGCCAAGGUGGGCAGAUCACCUGAGGUCAGGAGUUCGAGACCAGCCUGGCCAACAUGGCCGUCUCUACUAAAAAUACAAAAAUCAGCGGGGCACGGUGGCAGGCACCUGUAAUCCCAGCUACUCAGGAGGCUGAGGCAGGAGGAUUGCUUGAACCCGGGAGGUGGAGGUUGCAGUGAGCCGAGAUCGAGUUACUGCGCUCUAGCCUGGGCGACAAAAGUGAGACUUAGUCUCAAAAAAAAAAAAAAAAGAUGGCAUCGCCAGGCAUGGUGCCUGUAAAACCAGCACUUUGGGAGGCCAAGGCAGGAGUAUCCCUUUAGCCCAGGAGUUUAAGACCAGCUUAGGCAACAUAGUGAGACCCCAUCUCUAACAAAAAAUAAAAUAAAAUUAGCUGGGUGUGGUGGCGUGCACCUGUACUCCCAGCUACUCAAGAGGCUGAGGUGGAAGGAUUGCUUGAACCCAGGAGUUUGAGACCAGCCUGGGCAACAUAGUGAAACCCCCAUCUCUACAAAAAAAAUUUAAACAUUAGCCGGGCAUAGUUGCUCAUGCCUGUAGUCCCAGCUACACGGGAAGAUGAGGUUGGAGGAUCACUUGAGCCCAGGAGGUCGAGGCUGCAGCGAGUCAUGAUUGUACUCCAGCCUGGGUGACAAGAUUGAGACCCUGUGUCAUAAAAAAAGAAAAAAAGAGGGGGGAACAUAUUUUCCCUUCCCUUGAAACUAGGUGUGACUUUAUGACUGCCUCAAGGCAUUGAAUGCAGUGAAAGGGAUGCUGAGUGCUUCUAAGAUUAGGUUAUAAAGGACAUGUGGCCUUCAUUCACCUGUCCCCUCUGUCUCUCUGUCACCCACUCCACUUCCUUCCUUCCCGUACCUCCUUCCUUCCCUCCCUUCCAUUCCCUUCCCUUUCCUUUCCUUCCUUCCUUCACUCCCUCCCUCCCUCCCUUUCUUUCCUUCUUUCCCUCCUUCCCCUUUCCUUCUUUCCCUCCCUCCCUCCCUGCCUUCCUUCCUUCCUUUCCUCCCUCCCUCCCUACCUGCCUGCCCGCUCACCUGCUCUUCCUUCCUUCCUUCCUUCCUUCCCUUCCCUUCCUUUCCUUCCUUCCUUCCUUCCUCCUCUCUCUCUGUCUGGAUACUUGUCCUUGGACCCCAGCCACCAUCCUGUGAGGAAGCCCAGAGCACAUGAAGAGACCACCUGCACAUGUUCAGAUCCACUGCCCCAGCUAAGAUCUCCGCUGACAGCCAGACCAAUCACCAAUCUUAGGAGCUGGCGAGCCUUCAGAUGGUCCAACCUUUGAGGCCCCCCAGAGGAGCCAGGUGGAGCAUAGAUGAGCCAUCCAUGUGGAUCCCUCCACCAAAUGGAAGAUUUAGGAGCAAAAUAAACAAUGUUGUCAUUGCUUUCACCCACGAAA